UACGGAGGGAGCUAGCGUUGUUCGGAAUUACUGGGCGUAAAGCGCACGUAGGCGGCUUUGUAAGUUAGAGGUGAAAGCCCGGGGCUCAACCCCCGGAAUUGCCUUUAAGACUGCAUCGCUUGAAUCCGGGAGAGGUGAGUGGAAUUCCGAGUGUAGAGGUGAAAUUCGUAGAUAUUCGGAAGAACACCAGUGGCGAAGGCGGCUCACUGGGACCGGUAUUGACGCUGAGGAGCG
rnacentral:rRNA from 1 species